GAAUGAGAAGAGCGAAGUGGAGCGGUAACCGUUACAUAACGAGCUAGCGCCUUCGCCACACAGAGUUUAGGCGAAUCCCGGAAGUAAGGGUACGACACAGCUGUCGAUUCCGACUUGGUACGUCUAACCACCUUGAAGGUGACCCCCUCUGGAGAGGACGUGAAAGCAUCGACAUCAAAGGCCCAGACAUCAGAAACACGUCUGAACGAGA